rnacentral:rRNA from 1 species
AGUGAACGCUGGCGGUAGGCCUAACACAUGCAAGUCGAACGGCAGCACAGUAAGAGCUUGCUCUUACGGGUGGCGAGUGGCGGACGGGUGAGGAAUACAUCGGAAUCUACUUUUUCGUGGGGGGUAACGUAGGGAAACUUACGCUAAUACCGCAUACGACCUACGGGUGAAAGCAGGGGAUCUUCGGACCUUGCGCGAUUGAAUGAGCCGAUGUCGGAUUAGCUAGUUGGCGGGGUAAAGGCCCACCAAGGCGACGAUCCGUAGCUGGUCUGAGAGGAUGAUCAGCCACACUGGAACUGAGACACGGUCCAGACUCCUACGGGAGGCAGCAGUGGGGAAUAUUGGACAAUGGGCGCAAGCCUGAUCCAGCCAUACCGCGUGGGUGAAGAAGGCCUUCGGGUUGUAAAGCCCUUUUGUUUGGAAAGAAAAGCAGCAGGUUAAUACCCCGCUGUUCUGACGGUACCCAAAGAAUAAGCACCGGCUAACUUCGUG